GGUUGUAGCUCAGAGGUAGAGAGCUCGCCUAGCACGUGCGAGGCCCUGGGUUCGAUCCUCAGCACCA
rnacentral:tRNA from 1 species